GAUGAACGCUAGCUGGAGGCUUAAUACAUGCAAGUCGAGCGGGAUUGGGUAGCAAUACCCAUGAGAGCGGCGCACGGGUGAGUAACGCGUACACGACCUACCUCUAACAGGGGGAUAGCCCUGGGAAACUGGGAUUAAUACCGCAUAUAAUUCUGAAUAAUAAAGGUUUGGAAUGAAAGCUGAGGCGGUUAGAGAUGGGUGUGCGUCUGAUUAGCUAGUUGGUGGGGUAACGGCCUACCAAGGCGAUGAUCAGUAGGGGGCGUGAGAGCGUGGACCCCCACACGGGUAAUGGGACACGGACCCGACUCCGACGGGAGGCAGGAGUAAGGAAUAUUGGUCAAUGGGCGAAAGCCUGAACCAGCCAUCCAGCGUGCAGGAAGAAGGCCCUAUGGGUUGUAAACUGCUUUUAUCAGGGAAGAAACCUCUGGAUUUACUCCGGAGCUGACGGUACCUGAAGAAUAAGCACCGGCUAACUCCGUGCCAGCAGCCGCAGUAAGAC
rnacentral:rRNA from 1 species